rnacentral:lncRNA from 1 species
CAGUGUUCUCCCCAGGCGUUUUAGCAACAGCGCUUUUCAGCGCUAUUGCAAUUACCCGCUGUCCUAUUGCACUGACCGCAGCGCUAUCCAACGCAACCGCGUCGCUAUAUUUUUUUCCGUAUUUUUCAAUUUUUUUUAAAUUUCCCGCUUAUUUUUCACUUCGGAUCACGUGAUCGACUGGUUUACGAUUUUUUAAUGAAUUAUUUCCGUUGUAUUAAAGUAACUUCGCGGAACCAGUCUAAUAAAUUUUACAAAAUGGCGUUUUUGGAAGAUCAAAAUAAACAAAGAUUUCAACAUUGACAUCGAUUUUUUUAAUUUAUAGAAAAUAUAGAGGCAUAUAUGAAUGAAAUGUGAUGAAAUGAAUUGACCGCAUUUCCCGACGUCACUCACAAACUUGUUUUACGAACUUUGAACAACAA